GAUGAAGAUUGAGGAACCCAUGUAAUCUAAUGGCUUCUAUUUCCAGGGUUUUUUUUAUGCUCCACUGAAGAGCCUGCGAGUCAUGCCUGGUGGCCAAAUAGCGGGUUACAAGAUGGGGUAGAAGUGUCACAAGGCUGCAGAGUUCCUUACCUGGUGGAAGGGAGUAUACGGGCAUGCGACUCUAGAGGUCUGACCUGGUGCCUGACAAAGAUAUAUUUACCGAUGCGCGUGUAAGUGCUACAGGGGUCUGCGGUACUUUCACGUUUGACGCCAGCGAAGCAUCAGGCAGGGGGGCGGAGAUUUUUAAGGAAGUGCCUUCCAUGCGAGUGGCGCUGCCAUACUGGGACCGUAGCGUCUAGAGAAGCGCAGGAUAAACAGAGAACAGGAGUAAAGAAAAGACAAGAAGCGGCAGUCUCCACGAUAAGUCGGUGGAUAGUGAUAGCCAUACAGAAGGCUUACACUUCAAAGGGGAAACAGAUGCCAAUGGGCAUUAAGGCACACUCCACUUGAGCAGUGAGCGCUUCAUGGGCUGUGGAAUGUUCCGCCAGACGAAGUUUGUAGAGCUGCAUCCUGGAGCUCUUUCGUUACAUUCUUAAAGGACAAGGAAAGAAGAUCUGAAGCCAAACAGGAAGAAAAAAAAGCUGAGCUGGGUAGAGAAGAUUCCCAUAAUGCCUCGCACCUGCACUGACCAUGGGACCAGGACUAUAGGCGGCACAUGUGCACCAGCAGGAGAGCUCCCUCCAGCGUCCGGUUGCCAUGGCGACCGCAGUCCUUAUAAAUAGUGUAUGCAGCGGCAGCUUGGG